UACAGAGGGUGCGAGCGUUGUCCGGAAUCACUGGGCGUAAAGGCGCGUAGGUGGCCCGACAAGUCACUGGUGAAAGCUCGACGCUCAACGUCGAGUCGGCCAGUGAUACUGUUGGGCUGGAGCACUGUAGAGGCUCAUGGAAUUCCGGGUGUAGCGGUGGAAUGCGUAGAGAUCCGGAAGAACACCGGUGGCGAAGGCGGUGAGCUGGGCAGUAGCUGACACUGAGGCGCGACAGCGUGGGAGCAAACAGG
rnacentral:rRNA from 1 species